rnacentral:rRNA from 1 species
UACGGAGGUGGCAAGCGUUGUUCGGAAUUACUGGGCGUAAAGGGCGCGUAGGCGGACAGUUUAGUCAGAGGUGAAAGCCCAGGGCUCAACCUUGGAAUUGCCUUUGAUACUGACUGUCUUGAGUUCGGGAGAGGUGAGUGGAAUGCCGAGUGUAGAGGUGAAAUUCGUAGAUAUUCGGCGGAACACCAGUGGCGAAGGCGACUCACUGGCCCGAUACUGACGCUGAGGCGCGAAAGCGUGGGGAGCAAACAGG